GACGAACGCUGGCGGCACGCCUAACACAUGCAAGUCAAACGGACUUAAAAGAGCUUGCUUUUUUAAGUUAGUGGCGGACGGGUGAGUAACACGUGAGCAACCUGCCUCUGAGAGGGGGAUAGCUUCUGGAAACGGAUGGUAAUACCCCAUAAAAUAUAAAUAUCGCAUGAUAGAUAUAUCAAAGAAAUUCGCUCAGAGAUGGGCUCGCGUCUGAUUAGAUAGUUGGUGAGGUAACGGCUCACCAAGUCGACGAUCAGUAGCCGGACUGAGAGGUUGAACGGCCACAUUGGGACUGAGACACGGCCCAGACUCCUACGGGAGGCAGCAGUGGGGAAUAUUGCACAAUGGAGGGAACUCUGAUGCAGCGAUGCCGCGUGGAGGAAGAAGGUUUUCGGAUUGUAAACUCCUUUUAUCAGGGACGAUAAUGACGGUACCUGAAGAAAAAGCUCCGGCUAACUACGUG
rnacentral:rRNA from 1 species